rnacentral:rRNA from 1 species
GACGUAGGGCGCGAGCGUUGUCCGGAUUUAUUGGGCGUAAAGAGCUCGUAGGCGGCUUGUCGCGUCGAAUGUGAAAACUCGGGGCUCAACUCCGAGCUUGCAUUCGAUACGGGCAGGCUAGAGUUCGGUAGGGGAGACUGGAAUUCCUGGUGUAGCGGUGAAAUGCGCAGAUAUCAGGAGGAACACCGGUGGCGAAGGCGGGUCUCUGGGCCGAUACUGACGCUGAGGAG